CCCCCAUCAGUGCAGGGUAAAAUGGCAACUUUCCCCAUUCCCGGCCCUCAAGCCCGGGGAGCACUCGGCCCAUCACGCGCCCUGUGCUUGGCUCGUCAGCGCCCUGACCUGGGUGUUGUCAUUUACACCUGUGCAACGAGACUGGGAAAUGCACCAUCCUCCCUGGGCGGCGAUUUACACGUUCCGGGCUCUGGUGUCAAUGGUGACGUAUGGUGCCAGGACAAUCAGGCCCAUGGCAAUUGGACUAUAACUUGAGGGCGCUGCCUGUGGCCGAGGUAUUGGGCCUGUUCUGGGCUGCCCACGCUCCCUCCUGUCUGUCUCUCUGCUGCAUUUCAAGGGAGCCCAUUACCCCGGUAUGCAGGUGUGACGGUGCUGCCCGUGGGAGCCAGCUGAGGUCACUCAAUCAGGGUGAACUGCAAACAGAAUGGGGCAGACAAACCCCAAACGCUGGUGGAUCUUCCAAUACUUAGAUUUACCAAAACAGCUUCGACAGGACCGCACUGGUUACUCAGAGUCCAAACAACGCAGUCCCCUUAAAGUGCGCAGCCUCAGGCCUCCAUCCAUACACAUGUCAGAUAUGAUGAUUAUACUGAAAAUCUUAUUUCAUAGGGUUACCAUAUGUCUGGGUUUCCCCGGACAUGUCCGGCUUUUGGGUCUUUAAAUAGCCGGCUGGGGGGAAUUUGUAAAAAGCUAAAAAUGUCCGGGAUUCCCCCCGGACAGCUAUUUAAAGACUCAAAAGCGCUGACAGGGCAGCUGCGCUGGGGGAACCGCAGCAAGCCGGCACCGCCGGCGCCACUCACCUUUCCUCCCUGUGCCCUGGGGCAGUGCGCAGCUGAGAGCUCCUGGCGCAGUGGUGUCAGCCCACGGGGCCCCCGGCCCGGCUGGCGGGAGCCUGCAGAGAGCAGUCCUGCCCCUGCCCCGGCACACAGAGAGGCAGCGAGGAGGUCUCGCUCCCCUGCGCGCUGCAGCGGGGCGGGGCCAGUAGACUCGGGCACAGAGACCCCCCCGCCCCUGCCCCCCUCCCCUCGACCCGAUCCAACCGUAGGAAGGAGCCAGAGGGAUUGAGAGGGACCUGCCUGCUGGAUGCUUCCUGGGAGCCGCUCCAGGUAAGCACUGCUGGGCUCACCUGGAAGAUACCUCUGGGGAGGCUCCCCUCAGCCCCACUGCCCUCAGCCCCCACACUGACCCUGUUCCCUCAGCCUCCCCCGCAGUGUCCCCCCUGUGCCCACCCACCCUCAAUCCACUGCCCUCAGCCCCCCUGACCCUGUUCCCUCUGCCUUCCCCACUGUCCCUACCCUCCUCCCCCCCGCAUCGUCUCACCCUGCAUGGAUGUGGAAAUCUGUCCCAGAUUCCAGGCUGUCAUUAGCCCCUGGGGCAAAAGAUCAGCAGAGGUUUCCAAAGGGUGAAGAGACACACAGCUCCCGAAUUGCUAGUUCACGGCUGCGGCACACUGCGCCCGUGGCUGCAAGGCCGGAGCGGCCUACACCCCCACGCCUGUGAUUAAGAAACGUAUUGGCUGACCUAAUCAUCACCCUCGCUGCUCGCUUUCACGUGCACAAGAUAUGACCUUGUUAAGUCAUGUUGAUGAGUAUUGUAUGCUCCUCCUAUGCGCAGAAAUUCAACCACUUAUAAGUGUUGUAAAUAGAAAAGUAAGAUAAUAAAAACCCCAGUGAAAAGUCCCUGGGAGGCUUUUUCCGCUACCACGACCUGGCGCUCUGUCUCCUUCCUUUCUCGUCGCCACAGCUGGUGACCCCGACGUGAUCCCCCCUGCUCACCGGCUGGAUACGCCAAGUGCACUUCCGCGGCCGUUUGCCGCCCCUGAUUCGCUCCUAUGUGUCGGCCUCCUGUGAUGACAACCUGUUGGCCCUUUUUCUCACUCUGCAGCAGCAGCUGGAACCUACCGCAGAAAAUUAUCUUGUGACAUUGCUAGCUUGCCUUAAUGCUAACUCGCUCCUUAUCUUGUGCAUACUGGGGAGUUUUUUGCUGGCUCCUGGUUGUCAAGGUGAACCCCAGAUGGAACAGCGGCUGCAGUUUAACAUCUGGGUCCGCCUGGCACAAGUACUGAAUCAAUCUAAUUUCUGCUUAGCCGCUACCCCAGAAAUGCAGGGUCUGUUAAGUACCUGCCUUAUUCCUGUCUGUAAGCCACCUAGCGACAUACCAGUGAAUAUGCAGUUAGGCCUUAAUAAUAUUG